rnacentral:rRNA from 1 species
CAGCAGCCGCGGUAAAACGAAGGGUGCAAGCGUUAAUCGGAAUUACUGGGCGUAAAGCGCGCGUAGGUGGUUUGGUAAGAUGGAUGUGAAAUCCCCGGGCUCAACCUGGGAACUGCAUCCAUAACUGCCUGACUAGAGUACGGUAGAGGGUGGUGGAAUUUCCUGUGUAGCGGUGAAAUGCGUAGAUAUAGGAAGGAACACCAGUGGCGAAGGCGACCACCUGGACUGAUACUGACACUGAGGUGCGAAAGCGUGGGGAGCAAACAGGAUUAGAUACCCGUGUAGUCCCUGUCUCUUAUAC